rnacentral:rRNA from 1 species
UACAGAGGGGGCAAGCGUUGUCCGGACUUACUGGGCGUAAAGCGCGCGCAGGCGGUGCCGUAUGUGCCCGGGGACACCCGCCCGCUCAACGGGCGACGGCCUGGGUAGACAGCGGCGCUGGAGGCAGGGAGAGGGUGAUGGAAUGCCCGGUGGAGCGGUGAAAUGCGUAGAGAUCGGGCGGAACACCAGCGGGGAAGCCGGUCACCUGGCCCUGACCUGACGCUGAGGCGCGACAGCGUGGGGAGCCAACGGG